GGUUACUUUAGGUUGAGUUCUGCUAUGUUUGCAUCCAUGCCCGUCUUCCUUUAGUAAUUCUAGUUAGUUCAAUUAUUAUUGUUAGAUCUGCCUGGUUUCUGCUUAGGUUUGUUUGUUUUUCCCUCAUGUCUUUUUCUCUUCUAGUUGAUCAGGUUUUCUUUAUUUUUAGAAGUGUUUCCAUCUCCCUGUUUUCCAUAGUGUUUCUCCUUUGCUUCCUGCCAUCUUCUCCCCGCCCCUCAGCCUCCUGUGAUACUCACACCUGCAACCAAUCAUCUCAUCUCGUUAGGUCCAUUGCUCCAUUUGCCUCCUCCCAGUAUUUCAGCUCCUCUGUCCCAGUCACAACUGGCCAGUCUGUCUCAUCACGUCCCUUAUGCUCCUUAGGAUCUCCUCAGUUUUGGAUUUACUCUGGAUUGUGUUCCCCUUGGAUGUUCAUGUUUUGUGGCGUGAGUUUGUCCCAAAGCUGUAGAUGAGAUGCACAGCCACAUCGCUGCAACUUGACAUUCCCUGAAGCCCUCCAUGUGAGUGUCAGUCUGUAUGCGCUGUGCAGAUUCACUGACUGAUGUCGUGACGGAUGUCAGAGGAUCCACGUCUCGCUGCCCAGGAGAAAUAUAACCCGAGUCCAACAGGACGGGUAAAGAUCUGAUGUGUGGAGAAUCGCGGUCGACCGGCUGAGAUUAGAUUUGGUGGCGGAUUUGCUGCUGUUUGCAGGUGUGCACCUGCUCCAGUCCACUGGUAAUUCUCACCUGGAUGAAAACUUCCUCUUCUCCAACUUCUGCAACAGCCUGACAGCUAAAAAAAAAAAAGUAUUGACAGUUAUUUUUAUUGAUUACUUUAAGGAAAAGCUGCUAAACUAAGUUUUCUUUGUUUAUUCAUUACUUUGUAGGCUUUACCACAUAAACUACUGAAAUUAAUUAAAACAGUUUUCAACUGUGCAUUGUGGGAUUAAUAGUUCUUAUGCCAGCUUCCUGUAGUUCAGUCUGUCAUGGCUGGAGGCAACAAAAUUAAUCACAUUACUUAGAAAAUAUACGUCUAGGUGGCAUAGAAGCUGCAUUUCCUUUACAAAUAUGGGAAAAACUUUAUUGGUACUCCGCUAAUGUAAAAUUAAUUAAUUCAAUAUGAAUAUAAUUACGCAUCCAAUCAGUUUGUUUCUUCGUCUUUUCAGUUGCUGAUCAUGUAACACAUGUAAUGCAAAGUGUUUUAUGAAAUACUCUGAUCUUGACACAACCCAAAAACCUCAUCCUAUUGCAAAAAGUUUUUUUUAAUUUUUUUUUUUAUCAAAGUUGAGUAAAAAUUAAAGAAAUGUAUUUUCUUAAUUCCAAUUUGCGCAUUUAUAUUGUCAAUAAACAGCA